rnacentral:rRNA from 1 species
UACGGAGGGGGCUAGCGUUGUUCGGAAUUACUGGGCGUAAAGCGCACGUAGGCGGCUUUGUAAGUUAGAGGUGAAAGCCCGGGGCUUAACCCCGGGUCUGCAGUGGAUACGGGCAGGCUAGAGGUAGGUAGGGGAGAAUGGAAUUCCCGGUGUAGCGGUGAAAUGCGCAGAUAUCGGGAGGAACACCGGUGGCGAAGGCGGUUCUCUGGGCCUGUACUGACGCUGAGGAGCGAAAGCGUGGGGAGCGAACAGG